rnacentral:misc_RNA from 1 species
GUAUAGGUUUAAAGGCAAUUAAGCCCAUUAAAAUGACAUUCUGUGACAUACUAUAGGGUAUAUAGAAAAACAUAGACCGGAAAAUGUAAGGAAAGCCGGCUUGCGCACAGCAGUCCUCAAAACCGAGUUUCCUCGAGAGGUAUUCCAAAGUCUACAAAAAGUGCACAGGUGGUAAGAAAGUUGGUGUCAGGUGUGCACAUGCCCCAAAGAACCAGCGACAACCCAACCAAACUUAUUCAAUAAUGAUCCUUCCGCAGGUUCACCUACGGAAA